UCGAGCGAACAGACGAGGAGCUUGCUCCUCUGACGUUAGCGGCGGACGGGUGAGUAACACGUGGAUAACCUACCUAUAAGACUGGGAUAACUUCGGGAAACCGGAGCUAAUACCGGAUAAUAUAUUGAACCGCAUGGUUCAAUAGUGAAAGACGGUUUUGCUGUCACUUAUAGAUGGAUCCGCGCCGCAUUAGCUAGUUGGUAAGGUAACGGCUUACCAAGGCAACGAUGCGUAGCCGACCUGAGAGGGUGAUCGGCCACACUGGAACUGAGACACGGUCCAGACUCCUACGGGAGGCAGCAGUAGGGAAUCUUCCGCAAUGGGCGAAAGCCUGACGGAGCAACGCCGCGUGAGUGAUGAAGGUCUUCGGAUCGUAAAACUCUGUUAUUAGGGAAGAACAAAUGUGUAAGUAACUAUGCACGUCUUGACGGUACCUAAUCAGAAAGCCACGGCUAACUACGUGCCAGCAGCCGCGGUAAUACGUAGGUGGCAAGCGUUAUCCGGAAUUAUUGGGCGUAAAGCGCGCGUAGGCGGUUUUUUAAGUCUGAUGUGAAAGCCCACGGCUCAACCGUGGAGGGUCAUUGGAAACUGGAAAACUUGAGUGCAGAAGAGGAAAGUGGAAUUCCAUGUGUAGCGGUGAAAUGCGCAGAGAUAUGGAGGAACACCAGUGGCGAAGGCGACUUUCUGGUCUGUAACUGACGCUGAUGUGCGAAAGCGUGGGGAUCAAACAGGAUUAGAUACCCUGGUAGUCCACGCCGUAAACGAUGAGUGCUAAGUGUUAGGGGGUUUCCGCCCCUUAGUGCUGCAGCUAACGCAUUAAGCACUCCGCCUGGGGAGUACGACCGCAAGGUUGAAACUCAAAGGAAUUGACGGGGACCCGCACAAGCGGUGGAGCAUGUGGUUUAAUUCGAAGCAACGCGAAGAACCUUACCAAAUCUUGACAUCCUCUGACCCCUCUAGAGAUAGAGUUUUCCCCUUCGGGGGGACAGAGUGACAGGUGGUGCAUGGCUUGUCGUCAGCUCGUGUCGUGAGAUGUUGGGCUUAGUCCCCGCACGAGC
rnacentral:rRNA from 1 species